AGCACAGGAAGAAAAACGGUGGACAGGAGCAAACGGCACAUCACUGCCUCCAUUUAAGUUCAGGGAAAAGAUGGAUUUUUACAACCAUUUUCUUAAAGAAGUGCUGAAAAGGUAGAUACUGUAUAAGCCUCAUAUUCCUGCAUGUAUCCUACAUCUGUCCUGUCUAUACAGAGCCAUUGCAAAUCUCCAUUUUAUUUUUUUAUUUUUAAACAACUCUGCUUUAGUGCUUUAGCAGAUUCAGAACUCAAUUUACCACUAUCCCUCUUAAGUAAAAAAAAAAAGACUAAUUAUUCUUAUAAAGUUUUCUUUGAUUGAGCCACAGUGCAAUGUUAUUUCAGUUUAUUUAAAAAAUAAUUGAAAAUCCAACAAUAGUCUUUGCAUGCGUUGAUAUAGCAGUACAGUAUUUCCAAUGUGUGCAGAAACAGUACAAAUUGUUAGUUUGUGUUUAACAAUGCCACAGAAUUGUUGUUACUGUAAGUAACAGCUAUAAUAAAGAUGCUGCAUUUACAGUAAUGUGUAAUGAUUAGGAGGUGGUCUUGGUGCUGUGAAUCUCAAAGCCAAGAUUGGAGAGCGACACCCAGUGGCCACCUGUAAAACUCUUUGCCACACCAAAGCUUCAUAGGGAUCUGUGAAUUUUUACAGCCUCGUACCUGACGGCACAAUCACAGUGUAAUCCCAUCUGUCAAGCCAGAAUGAUAGUUAAAAGAUGCAUAAAUAUAUAAGAGAGAUAAGUUUCAAAGUCUGAUCAGCCCAGCGCCGGCCCUUGCAAAACCGUCUGUGUCCUCAUGUGUUCAUAAUUUAGUCAUGCUGGGAUCCUUUUUGCUCAUUCCUUUCAUUUGCCAGCUAUUUUCAUCACUACCACCCUGACGCAACAGCGCAGCAUCCAUCUCGUCAGUUAUUACCAUCAGGAGUAACACAUAAAUCGAAAUCGAUGCAGUCGAAUUCCUUGCUUUGAUCUAUUAUUUCUAACCUUAACUCGAGCGCACAUCACUUAAGAUCAUUUAUGCAUGUUGCAUGUGAGAAGAAUCUUAACUUUUUUUGCUGAAAGUACAAGUGGUAUAUAGAAGAUCAGCCUGCCACACUGUUUGUAUCCGUGAAUGUAAAUGACCUUGGAAUAAUAGUUACACAGCUGUUCAAACAGAAGGGGGGGAAAGAAACAGAUCAGUGCAUCAUGUCUGUUUGAGGUUUGUAAUAGUGCACUGACUAAUAAUCUAAUAAAGGUUUAUGAUAAAUAAUUUUACAUUACAAAAAUAGUGUUUCAAAUAAGAUAGGCUCAAAACAAACCAAGGACAUUGCAGUCUGUUUCUGGCAGCAUUUUGGUUUUCAGUAAAGGAAGAAACCAGCAAAAAGGCAGCUUAACAGAAAAAGACUGUGUGCAAGAAGAGACAGGGCAACUUGCUUUAGAGUAAACAACACAUCACAUGUUUUAGGAAUAUUAAAAUUGCAGCUUUGUUUCUCUUUGCAGUGCUUAUUUAGAACCCUGCCUGGUUUCACAUUCUGUAAACUUUAUUUUUCAACGUGUGAAACAGAACUUUCAGAAAUUUGUUUUAAAAAUUGCAUUCAUAAAAGCUGACUUUUAGAUUUUGCUUCAAAUAUUGUGAAUCUUACGCCGUAUCAUUUCAUUCCCAACAGACAGAAUGAAGGUCAAAACAAUGUCACAGACAUGUCUGUUGGCCAAUAAAGACAAAAUCUUACAACAAAUGGGAGACAGCAGUGUACCUGUGCAUGUAUCUAUGAUCCUUUAAAUAUUUUAUGAGAUAUUCAUGAGUUUAGGUUAAAUAAACAAUACAAAAUCUUUUUUUUUGUUUUGUUUUAAAGAGAAACAAGUACAAGGUUUCAGAUGUUAACCCUGGAGUGGUACUGGGAGCAUAGCUGCAUCGGCACAGUGCUUGUACCUUUGAGACUGUUAUUCUACUGCUAUUCUAUUUUUUUUCCUAUCAUUUCAGUAAGUGAAUAUGAUAUAGCAAUUUGAAGAAAAGUCUAGUAUAAAUAUUUGUCUUCACAUAUCUCAUCUUUAAUAGGUUAUCCCAGUUUGCUUUUACUUUAUCUUUCCUUUUUCCAUCUAGAUAGAUUUUUGCAUCAAAAACAUAAGCUUUUUUCCCUUUUUAUCAGCUUAAAUGUUUUUCAGCUCUUUCUUUGUGUCUCUUUCUUGCCUCUAUAUAUCUUUUUCCUUCUGUCUUGUAAGCCCAUCAUUUCAAUAAGCCUUAUAUAUAACACUCAGUUCCACAUCUAUAGUCUACAGUCUUAAGUUUGAUCAUACAAUAAAAUGCAGGUGUACUGCACCAUAAAACACAGUGACACAGUUGCAGGCUGUUGAAAUUGUUGCAAUUUCUUAUAACCCUUUCUCUAUAGAGGAAUGUACAGUUUCAUGCCAUAUUUGAUUUGCAAUGACAAAGUGAAAUAAAAUCUUUAGAUUUUUUUUUGCUUUUCCAUUUCUGUCUGCUUGUAUCUUACUUUUGCAUACCCCCCUCCCUCUCUGACCUUCCAACCAUGAAGAAACCUAGAAGCCAUACCUCCUCUCAGGCACAGUGGAAGCCAUCUGACACGCUCCAUUACGUUGUGCUUGUUCCAAUUAAAGCUGACACCAUUUGCUGUCAAGAGCAUGGUGAUACCCUGCAGAAAGGUAACCCCACCCCUGCAACACCCACUGCCCAGGGGGUUUAAGUGUUUCUAGAUGUAUAUUAUGUUGUUACAAGAAGAUCUAUACUGUCAGGUGGCGAUCCAAAGGUUGGACCUCCAAAGCACUCCCCCUGUGGGUAGAUGUGUGCUCGGCAUAUGUGUUCACUAAUUAGGUUUUAGACCAAAAUACAAACCUAAUUUCAUACAAAAUGAAUUGCUACUUUAAAAUCUUGCAGGUUCAAAAUGCAUGCUGAGCUGCCUUAUUGAAAUUAAUUAUAAGAAUUUCAUCCCAAAAUAAAGGUCACUAUCAAGAAAAUUAACCAUUCGAGGGAUCUGACUUCUCAGUGGUAAACUGUAAAUGUAUUUAAAGCCAGACAUCUCUCCCAAUCUGGAAUGGCCAGUGCCAUUUGUGCUGAUCCUUCACUGGCUUCCCACUCACAAAAUACAAGUUCAACAUGAUGUUCUACAAAUUGAAGAUUGAUUGAAAAAGACAUGGAAAUAAUAAAUAAAGAAAAAUCCUUCAGACAAAACAACUGUGGAUGAAUAAUAUACAGUGGGAAGCAAUCAGACAAAAGGUCCACUUUCUUUCGUUUAACUCUAACAUAAACAUCACAAGACAUCAAGAAAAGGAUAUUGGGUCAUGUCUGAGGCUGUGGCACUAGAAGGAACUGCAUAGAAGCUUUAAAUGUUUUAGCCAAUGCAAAACAUGUGAUAUAUCCUUCAUACCUAUGUAUGUAAAUGAUUAACAAGACCUGACUUGACUGCAACGCUUUACUGAAUUCAUGCUGUACACAAAUUGUUUGUACACAUUUUUUUGGAAUAUUAGAGACAAUUCAUCACUUUUUUUCUCGCCACGUGGGGGAAGACUAAUGUGUAGGCCUGAAACAGAAGACUGACCAAAAAGAAUCUGUUUGGCUCUUAAAGCAAUGAGGCUGAGCAAAGGUUCAUCAGCCUUUGGCUAAAAAUAAAAACCCUGAGCCAGCAGGCUAGACAGUCAGCCUCUGUGUUCCAUCUUUAGAUAAACUAUUAACCAAAUAUAAUACAUGUUGUACUUCAUGUCAUAUUACCUGUAUCAACAUUUAGACGUUCACUGUAUUUUGUAAUGUUUUUCAGAGAGGCUACUUUUAGAAAAUCCAUCCAUGAUGACUGUUUACAUAAUUUGCUUUGACUGGAACUUUUCUCUGAACGUCUCAUCAAGCAGAGUAAUGUUAAUGUACAGAAUCAGGGGACAGUAGAGCCCCGAUGAAAACUAUCUGUUCGGCACUCAAAGCAAUGAGGCUGAGAGAAAGUUAAUCAGAAGGCCCCUCCUUUGAUGAAAUGACCCCAAGUAAAGUUGUGGAGAAGCUCAAUAUGUUUCCUCUGCAGCGGGCUGCAGUCCACCGACCACCCAGAACCAAUCUGAGGCUUAUGACGGUGGCAGGGGAGAAGAUACAUUAGGCCUCCCUCCAGUGGGUAAUGAAUGGAACUAAUAGGAAUAGGCAAUCCCAGUCCACACCACUAAUAUAUGUAGAAAAAUACUAGAUGCAGCCUCUGUUGUUUGUUCCUAAAGCACACUAUGAUGCCUGUUUUGAACACCACUUUCUCGUGCCAAAAUGUUUUGAUCAUUUUGAUCUUAAUAGAAAUUGCAACUGUUGUAACUGAAACUUAAUUUAAAGUGUAACUGUUUUUACAUGUUUUGAAAAUGUUAUUCUGUUAUGAAUAAGAUUCUUUCUAGCCAUGCUAGCAUUGAUGUUCUGGGGAUGACUGUAUGUUCGGUUGGUCCACCACCUAGUGAAAUAUCUCAACAUAUCUCAGAUGACACAAAACACAAAACUAACUAUUACUAAUAACCUACAAACUAUUAGAUUGCCAUGAAAGGUAAUACAGACAUUCAUGCUCCCCAGAGGAUAAGCUGUUAUAGCCUAUAUAUAUAUUGUAAUGUAACUUAUCUUAUCAUCAACUAGCAUCAUUGUCAGGCACAAAAUUUUAUGGAUAUAAAAAUGUACUUUAAAUUAUUACUUUUGGGCUUUAUUGAGCUCUGUGUAAUGUAAUAACAUGCCAAGAUGUUGGCUUAGUCCAUCAUCUCUGCACAGGGCCAGGUAUUUUUAAAUUCUGAACUUGAUUAUCUAGUUUAGACAACUAAAUUUUUUUUAAUCUGACGAGCAUGUCAGUUCUAUUUAAAAAAUGGACACCCUGAUUGUCAUUACAUUUACAUAUUAGUGUGUGGUAUCUGUCUCCAACUCCAAGCUACAUUACAUUGCUGGAGAUGCAAUUUACUGGACAUUUUAAUCAAAAUGUCUAGCAGGACCACGAGUCAACACUUACCAAUGUUGUACCUAUUAAGUCGCGCAGGACAUUGUUUCAGAUGGGAUUUGGAUAGAUCAUGUGGACAGUACUAUACCAAGAUACAUUAUCUUUAUUAAAGCUAUUGGAGUGGACACAUGAAAUAUCCACCCAAUAGGUAAUUAAUCCCACCCAGCUCAGGUAUGUAGGACCUUGUCGUCGUCUCAUCAUUACAAGAGACGCUUUCUCCGUCUCUUAAUUCAACAGCCAUCAUAUUAUUUUGAUUAUGUUCCACUAGGAGAGUUUUCAAGGCCUCCUCUUUCCCUUUGACCUUUUUGACCCAGGAGGGGAGGUGAGACUGUGGCGCCGACAGUCUCCUGCACAGAGAGCCUGGUUCUUUUCAGAUUCUCAGAUGGGAUCUCUAGGUGUCAAUUUGUUUUAUCCUCUUUAACAGAACACUGACUCCUCCACAGAUGUGAACGACACUCUACACUCAGGUUUUGGGAAAUGCUUGUUGUUCUACAAAAGAUGGGUUCAUAAUUAAGUGCCUUUUUAGUUGUAAAUCAGGAUACAUAGCCCUGAAAUGUGUUUACAUCUCUUUUGAACUGACAGGUCCACCUCCAGAGAGAAACUCCUCUGGAAUCCACAUCUGGUCUCCUGUUACUCCUUUCCCCCUUUCCUUUAAGGUGAUUUAUGAGAGGUCCAUGUACUAGCCCUGACAUUCCAAUAUACAUAGCAGGUCCAGCAUUUGCAGUGAUAUAGAUUUAGUUCUAAUUUAAUACUAUUGUAAAAUUUCAUCUCCUCCUAAUUAACAGAUUGCCACCCAGCAUGAGAAGGUCGCACAUGUAAUGUUUGUCUGAUGUUUCUGUCUUCAGAUUGGACUGAGUUACAAAAUCAUGUGUAAAAUGAAUGUUUGAUGGAGCCACAGUGCCACCUUUUGAUAAGAUUCUGGUAUAGUUGUAAAAGGUACUUUCAAAACAAACUUUGUUUUAUAAUUGUGUAUUAUUCCAAAUAGUAAACGCCUGACACAUAAUUUUUAUAACAAGGAUUAAACUAGCACUAUACGAAAUAUGUACAAUCCAUCAGUGCUGCUUUAUAUACAUGUUUGAUGGUUAAUGAUUUAAUGAUUUUAAUCAGCUCUACUUUUCCUUUACAUCAAGUGAUUUUGGUUAUGUUAUGUUAAAACAUGUGAACUAUGUAUUAAGUCAUGGUGGGUUCUGUGAACGGUGAAUUAUGAUCUCGAAACUUUAAAACACGAUAGGAGUAAGAUAAAGCUACGAAUAUCAAAAUAUCACCAGAGGAAGUGACGCGCGCGGUCAGCUCCUCUCGUCCAGUUCCGCCUCCAGAAUAAAAGAUAUAAGAGAUAGACUCUGGUCACUCCUUCUCUUCUGAUCUCUUCUAAACUUCGUUCUCUUCUUUUCUUCUUUCUAAGAUCCAUUCGUUAUUUACUCUCGUUCUUACUUUUAAUUUCCGUACUUUACUUCGUUUGCGACACGUGUUGGAUUUUUCUUCAAGUUAUAAAUUGCAGUGCUGAAGUACCUUUCAAGUACUUUUAUUUUGAAAGCUCAAGACACAAACGAAUUUCUUCUUUUAUAUUUUUGUAGUCUUAUCAUCAAGUAUUGUCACCUGAUUCACAGAAAGUGAAUUUAAUCUAAUUCUUGGAUUGAUUAACUACGGAGAAGUCGCCAGGCCAGCGUUUCAUCCUCCAGUUAUUUUUAAACAAGAAGCUGAAUUAGUUUACAAUCAAAGCUGAAGACCAACCACUUGACAUUAUUAUCCAGCGACUCUCUGCCUCCAACGCACUCAAGCGUAAAACUACGCGCUGGGCCUUUGAAUCGAAGGGCCACUGGUACCAGGGCCGAGACGCAACUUCCUUCGGCCUGUUGGAUCAGUGAUGCAGAGCCGCAGUUGAGCUAAAAGCCAAGGACCUGGAAGUUCCAUCUACAAACAAACCUCUCUCCUUCUCAGUUAAUUGUGUCUGGAGCAAGAGAAAACAAAUGGAGACAACAGCAGCAGAGAAAAAGAGCUGCAUCACCACAUCAAGAGAUUCAAGACAAAAAGUUUCCUCCCAAAAUAAAACAAGAUGAGUCUUGUCUUAUCUCCUCCCAGCGAGAAGGUGAGACAGAGAUAACGAGGAAGAGACACGAGGACGGAGGAGCCACAUCUGCCAAAUGAGGUUUCCUUGCUUCCACAGCGUCACACUUGUGGCUGUGCUGUCUCACAAAGGAAGCAUUGAGGACCUGACCCUCAGGCGUACUGACCACAACCAACUCCCCUACCUCGGGAGGACCGGAGCCCAGGCAGUCAUGACUCUGAUGGCGGAAGAAAGAAAGAAAAUUGAUGUAGAGGAAGAAGGUGACAGACACGACAUAAGGCCAGUCGGCUGGUGUCAUGACUACUCCGGCAAUUUGGGCGCAGGUGACGUGGAAGGAGGUGGCACAGUUCUUGUGUGAGCACUGGAUGCAGGCGCCGCGGUUCUGAUUGGCAUUCUUGCGAUGGCAAAACACACACUUCUGCAAUGAGAAGAGAAAAUAAAGAAUUGCCAGUUUGAAUUC